rnacentral:lncRNA from 1 species
UAACUUUCUAUGCAUCUGGACGAAGAGCGUGUGGCUGGAUGUGCUUAUUCUGUCUAUGCAAGUCUUCCUGCAGGGAUUGAUUACCCCAGUUCAGCUGUCAGGGAGCAGAAAGAAUUAAACCAAAGUCUCCUGGAUCCCAGGAAAAUGGCAUUACCGAUACCUCAACAUUUGGAGCAUCACUGUUAACUCUGCUGCAAUGGAGCCUGAGGAUGGAGCAUGGAGCAUAUAAACUACAGGAUUGCAAUCCAAGAUAACUCGCACAGUUUAAAAUCCCCUAAGUCAUCAGUAAUAGAAUUCUUGCCAAACUCAAUCACUCCCACCCAAAGCUGAAUUAACUUGCCUCCACUGCAGUAACAGCAAUAUUUUUGCUCUGUCUCAAUACAGACUGAGGGAAAAUGAUGUAAUUGAGUAAAACCUUUAUACUUAUCUGCCUCCAGAGUUUCACUUUGGGCAAUCUACCACUAGAUAUGUAAGUACACAUUUCAAAUCAGUAACCCAAAACUUUCAAACACCUCUGCUUUUGAUUUAGAUAUAUGUUGUCAUUGGCCAUCUAGGUAUUAAAAGACAUUGACUGCACCCAUUCUUAUUAAAAGUUUCAACACAAACUAAGAUAGUCAUGUGCUAUACAUGCAUUUUGGGUCUCAGUGUCCUGAUCUCCCCUCAAGUAGAAAACUGCCUCAGAGGUGUGAAUGGAUUUAUAUGAAGAACAUUCUGUAGAAGCUGAGGUCCAGGUUUAAACAUAGACUUUAAUCGGUGUAGCGGAGAUGGUGGGCAUCGAAGAAGUAGCAUCCUGUUAGCCAAGCCUCCAUGUUUGAACUAUGGCACAGGGCUAGAGCUUCAUGUGCUAUUCAGUUUGCCCAUGGAAAACUGCCCAGACUGCAGACUGUCAGUUUUACAUUCACUUGCAAACAAGUAAGUCAGUGUAUGUAGGAGAAUGGCACAAAGAAACAAUGCUACUCCCUGCCUCAUGCUUGUUGUCAAGUCCCAAAGUACACAACUACCCCACCUUCACAGGGAGAAGAAUAAAUGGAAGUGAUGUCUUACUGGAUCAAAUGUUAUCUUCUUUCUCCUUUAUGUCUUUGUUAUUAGUAAUAAACAAAAGCGAGUUUAGCUUGUUCUUAAAAACGACAAACUCUUCUGUUCUGCUCGUGUCAUCAGGACUCAUUGUUUGGGAUUGUUUACCCUUUGCUAGGAGCUAUGAUGACUUUGCAGGACUUGGAGAGCAUGAAGUGAACUGUCCUGGCUUACUCACUGAGGUGUGGCUGGCACUAAAUGUACAAGAAAACAUAUUUAAAGUAACAGUGCAUGUAAAUCUCGUAGCUCUACUUUUUCACUUUAUCAUCUGAAUACUUCAGUAUGAGAGGAAAAAUGAAGAAUGAUUCUCUUUUUGUAACAUCUGUCUCAGGAGGACACCUUCCCAGUGCACAUAGGACUCAACUUUGAGAUAUUUUCUUUUCAAGAGACAUGGGAGUUUUGAACCAGAGAAAAACAAUUUCUGCGCGAGGUUAACAAAAAUGUACAAUAAUUCUUAAGUCUUCCUGAAGUUCAUAUCCUCAUUUUGCCAUUCCAGGUAAUUUUUAUGGAGGUCUUCAUAACUUGGGAGACGAGAGAUCACCGUCUUUCUGAUCUCAUGUAUUACCUGGCAUACAGUUAGAAAAGUUGCGGUGUUGUCCCACCAAUAACCACCAUGGUUAUGGCUGUCCCAGAGAAUUGUAUUCAGAGCGCUGUGUUCAGGGCAGACAGGGGUGAAGCUGUGAUAUUCUGGCACAAGUUGUUCUUAUUCUUUAGGCUCCAAUUGGAACAGAGCUCUUGGUUAGCCCCUUCUUCUGUAAAAGAGUUUGUACAUCCAGGCCUAAAAUGCUUUAUUAUAUCAUUUGAAAAUCUUUUAAAUUCACUCAUAUGGACUGGAAAUACAAUAAUUACAUAAUAUCAGCAAUAGCACUAUAAUAAAGCAAACUAGGACAUCCAGGCUGGUACACUCUAAGGUUAAACAUGAUAUCAGAAAAUUAAUUUUACAUAGCUUUGCUGCUGCACAAUCCAGGGCAUGGUGACAAAUGGAACAAGGUCAGUCCAGCGGGAAACACCAAGAGAAAUACCAAGUGGAGCCAGGAAAUUGCUGUCAGGCAGCAAUGACAUCAGCCCGCAGCCCUUGCCAGCCUCCCUUGCACCAUGGCCACAGAUCCAGAUUGCUGCACUGGAAAGGGCCGCUCCCUUCCCGUUAAAUCACAGCACACAGGACCAACUCAAAAAUGUUUUUUUCAUUGUUUUUUAGACAAUUUGGAAGAGUGGUAUGAGCACUUCUCAUCUAAUGUUGUAUGUGCAGUUCAUUUGUUUACGUCACCAAAGUAUUCAGCAUUUCAGAUGAACUCCUUUCUUCUUGCCCUACUGUGGUUCACUCUGCAAUUUUUCUUGCUUUCUCCUGAUCCUGUUAAAAGCUCCUGAUCUAAAACAUAGAUUAUCCCUUCCACCAUGUGGCUUGUUACCUCUCACCUUUAUGCCACAUCCACUCCUGCAGCUGUUUCUCCAGGCUCCUUUUGAGAGUGUAUAUAAUAUCUGUUUUCCUGAAUAAAGAAUCUGUCAUAACGGAGGUCAGAAGGAUGAGGAGUCCAAUUGCUAAUUCAGUUUUGGUGCUUUCUUGGCUUGUUCUUUUCAUAAAUAGUAGAAAAUGUUCUUCAAUUAAUGACUGAUAUGUUUUCAAAGUUUAAGAAUUUAAAAAAAUACUAUGUGGGAAAUGGAAUUUAAUCUUCCCAAAGGAGACACUGGCUUUCAGUUUUCAGGUAUUUAAAUAUGCCUAAAAAUCACUGAUGGUUAAAAAGUACUUCAAUCAAGAAUGUUUGGAUGGCUUACAAGAGUCAAACUAGAGGUUAAUUUAAGUAUUUUAAGUUACAGAACCUUCAAAAGACAGUGACAGCUGAAAUAACUGAGUAGUUUUAUGUAGUAAUCAAUACAAUAGCUGGAAAAGCAUGAGAAGGGAUAUUUAUACGUUUCAGAACUCAUGGUAGCUCAGUAGUAAAAAACAGAAGUAAUGUUUUUAUUGAAAGAGAAGUUUUCUUUUCCUCGGGAUAGACAGCAUGCUUUCCAGUACAAUUAGAAAAAAUUCUGUGAAGAUAAGGUACUUCAAUUUUAGCAUGAGGUAAACUCAGCAAAAUCAGGUAAGUUGUCCUGAUUGGGGGUUACUGAGUUAUCUUGGAAUACAGCUAGAGAUCUCUUCUGUUUUUACAUUGGAAUACCUCACAUAAAUUAGUAUUACAACUUUGUUACACUGUAGUGGAUAUGAAUAUGAAAAGUAAAUUCUUUCACUUACUUUUUUUAUCAUGAGACUUAAAAAUCACAGGCACUCUCUUAGAAGUUAUUUAUUUAUUUAUUGUACCUAACACACAGCAUCUUGUCACACACUCUGUCAUAAUUUUGGUGAACGUGUUCCAGACUGAAUUUUGAUGAAAAAGGAAGAAGGAAAAGAAAAGGAAGGGAAGGGAAACGAAGAGAAGAGAAAAAGAAAACAAAGAAAAAAGUCAAAUACAUUGUUAACUGAAAGAUGGUCUUAUUGCUAUAGCUGUAUUUUUGGAUUUGCAAACCCUCCUGUUUUUUUCCUGCAGUUGACCUGAAAGAUCUUCUAUUUGUUUCACUCUGCCUUUCUGUCACUUGUACUAGUUAUAACCUCAGUCUGCAAAUAGCUUCAUUCUCACUUUUUGUCUUUUUCUCAGAUCUUUACUACAUACAGUCUCUGCCUAUUUACAGUAAGGAUAUCAAGUUCAUUCAUUUCUGACAUAGCAAUAAAAUACGCCAUAAAAAUAGACACAAUUUUCUGCUGGAAUUACAUGAGAAUAUUUGAGUGCUGAAUUUAUCUCUUCUGUAGUUUUGAUCAACAUUCUAGAAAAAAUAAUCCUGGAAAAAAUGAGUAGUACAUUGAAAAAGAUAUGGAAAAUAAUUAAUUAAGAACAGAUAGUACAAAUAGAAACUUGUGAGUACAUUGAAAUGGGAUCUUACACCAUGGUCCAUGGUUUAGUCUUCUCAUGCCUUCCAAGAAUAACUUUGAACCCAUGUUCUAAAAAAUAACUCUAAACUGUGCUGGCAUAUUUGAAUGAAAGAUAUAUAGCAGUUUUUGGGGGUUUUGGACAGUCUAGGGUCUGUUUGCUUGCUCAUUUAUCUUUUCUUUCCAAAUUGAAAACCUGAAUUUAUGUAAUUUAAUGUUGCAUUCAUACUUUUAAACCUGAUAUAUAACAUUUAAUUUAAUUUUCUGGAGAGGUUGGACAGCUUUGCCAUUUAUUUUAAACUGCUGAGUUUAUUUGUCAUAAAAAAUGAUUUCCUCCUUUUAAGAGAGGUUAAUAUUAGCUGAAUCAACAUUAGUUUAUUACUACACUUAGUUGAUUUGACUCCAUUUUUUGGGUAAUGUGUAAAUUACCUUUUCAAUGUUAUCCAGCUCAAGUUUUAGUACACUAGCUUUUGUUUUCUUAUAUAGAAGUCAAACUGGUUAUUUAUUCCCGUAAGUUUGACAUUGUUAAAAAUUCAUUUAGUAUUGAUUCAUCCAUAUUUGUUUCAAACAUAUAUUUAAAUUAUGUAAUUUCUUUUGAUAUUGACUGGAGCAGUAAAUGUCAUUAAAAAUUCCUCCCUUCAAAUAGAAACAGCUUCACAGAGCUUGAUCUGCCGUGACACAAUUACAGCUGUUCCAGCUCCUGAGGAAUGUAUUUCCAUUAAAGAGUCAUUAGAUAAAAAUGCACAAUCAGCUCCUCAGCAGGAACAAGAACCAAGACCACUCAUCAAGACAUAGGAG